rnacentral:lncRNA from 10 species
UGGAUUGCAAAAAUUUUCUCCCAUUCUGUAGGUUGCCUGUUCACUCUGAUGGUAGUUUCUUUUGCUGUGCGGUAAUUUUUUUUUGUUGAGAUGGAGUCUCACUCUGUCACCUGGGCUGGAGUGCAGUAGUGCAAUCUUGGCUCACUGCAACUUCUGCCUCCUAGGUUCAGUGAUUCUCCUGCCUUAGCCUCCCAAGUAACUGGGAUUACAGGUGCCUGACACUACACUCAGCUAAUUUUUUGUGUUUUUAGUAAAGAUGGGGUUUCACCAUGUUGGCCAGGAAGGUCUUGAACUCCUGACCUCAAGUGAUCCUCCCACCUUGGACUCCUAAUGUGCUGGGAUUACAGGCAUGAGCCACCAUGCCUGGCCUGAUAUCUCUGAAAUUUAAAAACUAUUUAGAAUCUCACUGGGACUUAUGUGCUUUCAUUGCUAAUGAUCUGCUGCUAAACCUGUAUAAGCCCCUUCCCUCUAGGCUCAGGGACUGUCACAUAAGAGGUGGGCAUGUGAGAUUGUAAGGGCCAAAUUUGAGGGAUAGAAUUAUUUCAGACCCUCCUACUCAAGCAUGGGCACACAGAUGCCCAAACAUCUGCCAAAAUAAGACUGUGUCUUGGCCUACUAUGUUGCCUCUCUCCAUCCAUCCCAACCAUAAAAAGUUUUGCUCUCCAUAGAAUUAAACAAAAAUUACGGAAAGAUAUCCAGAUACCUGGUGUAUUAGUCUGUUUUCAUGCUGCUGGUAAAGACAGACCCAAUUCUGGGUAAUUUAUACAGGAAAAAGGAUUUACAGUUCCACGUGUCUGGGGCAGCCUCACAAUCAUGAAGGAAGGCAAGAAGGAGCAAGUCACGUCUUACAUGGAUGGCAGCAGGCAAAAAGAGAGCUUGUACAGGGAAACCCUGUUUUUAAAACCAUCAGAUCUCAUGAGACUUAUUCACUAUCAUGAGAACAGCAUGGGAAAGACCUGCCCCCAUGAUUCAAUUGCCUCCCACCAGGUACCUCUCACAAUGUGUGGGAAUUCAAGAUGAGAUUUGGGUGGUGACACAGCCAAACAAUAUCACCUGGUGACAAAGCCUUCUGGAUAUAGUGCUCCCAGUAAUAAAAUGAUGCCAAUUAUAUAAACAAUUUUAUCAGCCACCUUAGGAGGAAUUACUAAAAAGACUACAAAAAGCCUUGCAGCACAUUGAAAGUCUCUAAAUUCCUUAGCUUAAAUGGUUUUAGGAAAAUGCUUAUGUUUUGUAUAGCUAAUUACUACAAGCGUGUAACUACAACCAAGAUUACAGUAGCUCAAUGCAUAGAACUUAAAUAGAUGCCAAUUUUAUAACCUCGCCUUUUGGCAUUUGAUUUUUGGCUCUCAUGUUACCUAAAGGGUUCCCAGGGUUAAUGAGAACCUGCCCACCGCCAUUCCCAUCUGGCCUGGAAUAUUUAGUUGGCUAUAAACAUUUUGACUCCAAAUCCCUUGGGCAUGGGGUCCCACCGAGGGACAUGUUGGGCCUGGGUAGGCAGACACACCACCCCAGCAAUAAUAUGGGACAAAAUAGAAGUUUGGCCAUCGAUGUUGCAUCUGGCAUAUAAUGACCAAAAAAAGGGGGAAUGUAAACUGAUAAUUAAAUCCCAAGCUCCCUCUUCCCACUGCUACUGACAGAAUGGAUCCCUCCUUGGCCAAGGGAAGCCCCUGUAAAAAACCUUAAAAACUUAGUUCCCAGACAUAAUGGGAUGGGAGGCCAGGCAUACCUUCUUUUUGUGGUUUAGACACAAAAACUGACCACCAUUAAUGGUCAAAUAAAAAUCACAAGACAGAACAGGCUUUCUGUAACAAUAAGAUAGCGAAUUAAGCCAGGUAUGGUGGCGUGCACCUGUAGUAUCAGGUUGCCAGGUCCGAUCUGUGGACCCUGACCCAGUGAUGGAUGAAAGACGUACACUGACACAGACAUUUUGCCUGUCAGUGUGGCUAAGGGGCUCUGCUGCCUGAGUCCACAGCAUUGGCCUCGAUAAACUGGCGAAGUUUGCAUUUAUUUAGUACAGAUUAAAUGACAAAUGUCUCAAGUAAACACCACUGGAGGGUAAUUAACAUUGCUGACCUCCUGAGUAGAGAGCAGUCAUGCACCCGCAGAUGACCAAAGGUCAGUCUUAGGACCACAUGAGUAAACAAGCUAUUUAGAUAAAUUCCUCUACAUUCCUAUGUAUCUACGCCCUAAGCUUUUAAGAGAAUUCAGCUGCCUCCAGCCAAAUCUUUUACUGAAGUGAUGCAAACUACCCGGCCUUCCAAGAAAGUUUGUGUCUAUUUCCUAUAACUCUAUAAUUUCUCCCACCACCCUGACCAAUCUCCUACACCAGGUAUUUGGGAGACUGAGGUGGGAAGAUAGCUUGAGCCUGGGAGUUCGAGGCUACAGUGAGCUAUGACUGUGCCACUCCAGUCCAUCCUGCGUGACAGAGCAAGAUCGUGUUUCAAAAAAAAAAAAAAGAUACCAAAUUAUAAACAGAACCUAAGACCAUGCCAGCAAAGGUUAAAUCACACACUCCUUCACUUAAAAAGUAAACUAUGUUCAUCCCAGCACUUUGGGAGGCUGGGGUGGGCAGAUCAUGAGGUCAGGAGAUCAAAACCAUCCUGGCUAACAUGGGGAAACCCCAUCUCUACUGAAAAUACAAAAAAUUAACCAGGUUGGUGGCAUGCGCCUAUAGUCUCACCUACUCGGGAGGCUGAGGCAGGAGAAUCGCUUGAACCUGGGAGACGGUGGUUGCAGUGAGCCGAGAUCACACCACUGCACUCCAGCCUGGAUGACAGAGUGAGACUCCAUCUAAAAAAAAGAAGUAAACUAUGUUCUAAAUGCCACAAAGUUUUUCUUUUUCCCAAGCAGCCAAACAAGCAUUUGCCUCUAGAUAAGCAACGUUAAAGCACUUUGCAGCUCCACUGGAUGCUAACUGACCACCAGCCAUAACUAUGGCUUUAAUUAGGCAAGAGACUUAUUUCAGUAACUUUUUCCUGAUGAAGAAACCACUGACCACGGGCUAGAUCUGGCUGGUUUACAGAAAUUGCAAGCUUGUGUGCCUUUUUGUCCUGAAAAGAACUUUUGAUCUAUAGGGCUUAAUAGUAAUAUUUUUAUUCUAUUCUAUUCUAUUCUAUUCUAUUCUUUUUUUUUUU